rnacentral:rRNA from 1 species
UGCUAGGCAUGCCAGUCGAACGGACCAUUUUGAAGAGUAAUCGGAUUCAUGGUUAGUGGCGAAAGGGUGAGGAAUGGAUAGGAACGUACCGUUAGCUUCGGGAUAGCUCACUGAAAGGUGGGGUAAUACCGGAUAAUACCGCAAGGUCAAAGAUUUAUCGGCUAAUGAGCGGCCUAUUCCCUAUCAGCUUGUUGGUGAGGUAAUGGCUCACCAAGGCGACGACGGGUAGCGGGACUGAGAGGUUGGCCCGCCACAUCGGGACUGAGACACUGCCCGGACCUCCACGGAGGGCUGCAGUAACGAAUAUUGGGCAAUGGGCGAAAGCCUGACCCAGCAAUGCCGCGUGCAGGAUGAAGCCUUUCGGGGUGUAAACUGCUUUCAGGAGUUAGAAAGCUCCGGUUGAUCAGCUCCAGAAGAAGUCACGGCUAACUUCGUGCCAGCAGCCGCGGUAAUACGAAGGUGGCAAGCGUUAUUCGAAAUCACUGGGCUUAAAGGGUGCGUAGGCGGACAUGAAAGUGUUUUGUGAAAUCCCUCGGCUUAACCGAGGAAUGGCUGGACAAACUACAUGUCUUGAGGCAAGUAGGGGUGUGUGGAACUCUUGGUGGAGCGGUGGAAUGCGUAGAUAUCAAGAGGAACGCCGAAGGUGAAGACAACACACUGGGCUUGUCCUGACGCUGAGGCACGAAAGCGUGGGGAGCAAACAGGAUUAGAUACCCUGGUAGUCCACGCUGUAAACGAUGCCUACUAUGUUGCGGAGGUUCUGACACCGUCGCAGUCGUAGCAAAAGUGUUAAGUAGCCGCCUGGGGAGUACGGUCGCAAGGCUAAAACUCAAAGGAAUUGACGGGGGCUCACACAAGCGGUGGAGCAUGUGGAUUAAUUCGAAGCAACGCGCAGAACCUUACCUGGGUUUGACAUGCUUGGAUGCCUGUCUGGAAACAGAUUCGGCUGCCUUCGGGUGAAACUUGCACAGUGCUGCAUGCUGUCGUCAGCUCGUGUCGUGAGAUGUCGGGUAGUCUUUACGAGCGAAACCCUUACGUAGUGCAGCGCGUCAUGCGGGGACUCUAGCGGGACUGCGUGUAAACGAGAGGCGGGGAUGACGUCAGUCCUCAUGGACU